rnacentral:tRNA from 1 species
GCGCGGAUGGCGAAGUGGUUAACGCGCUCGGCUGCAGCCCGAGUAUUCCCAGGUUCGAAUCCUGGUCCGCGCU